rnacentral:SRP_RNA from 1 species
GCUGGGCGUGGUGGUGCACGCCUGCUGUCCCAGCUACUCAGGAGGCUGAGGCAGGAGGAUCACGUGAGCCCAGGAGUUCGAGGUUGCAGUGAGCUCCAGUCGCCCCACUGCACUCCAGCCUGGGCCACAGAGCGAGACCCUGUCUCUA